AUUGAACGCUAGCGGGAUGCCUUACACAUGCAAGUCGAACGGAGUGGCGAACGGGUGAGUAAUGUAUCGGAACGUGCCCAGUAGAGGGGGAUAACUACGCGAAAGCGUAGCUAAUACCGCCUACUAUUAGAUCGGCCGAAAUCUGAUUAGCUAGUUGGUGGGGUAACGGCUUACCAAGGCGACGAUCCGUAGCUGGUUUGAGAGGACGACCAGCCACACUUGUACGGAGACCCGGCCCAGACUCCUACGGGAGGCAGCAGUGGGGAAUGUUGGACAAUGGGGGAAACCCUGAUCCAGCCAUGCCGCGUGUGUGAUGAAGGCCUUCUGAUUGUAAAGCACUUUUGGCAGGGAAGCGUUACCUGCAGAAUAAGCACCGGCUAACUCCGUGCCAGCAGCCGCGGUAAUUC
rnacentral:rRNA from 1 species